rnacentral:tRNA from 1 species
AUUUAAAUAGCUUAAAUAAAGAGUGUAAUAUUGAAGAUAUUAAGGUGAUUUUUAAUCUUUAGAUA